UACGUAGGAGGCAAGCGUUGUCCGGAAUUACUGGGCGUAAAGCGCGUGUAGGUGGUGGGACAAGUCUGCUGUGAAAGCGCCUGGCUUAACCGGGCGAGGUCGGCGGAAACUGUUCGACUCGAGGACGGUAGAGGGUGGUGGAAUUUCCUGUGUAGCGGUGAAAUGCGUAGAUAUAGGAAGGAACACCAGUGGCGAAGGCGACCACCUGGACUGAUACUGACACUGAGGUGCGAAAGCGUGGGGAGCAAACAGG
rnacentral:rRNA from 1 species